AUUAUUAAAAUUAAAUGAUUAUAAUUUUAAAUUUAUAAUUCAAAUUUGAUAUUAUUCUAAUUACUAUUAAUA
rnacentral:tRNA from 1 species